CGCGGGAUAGAGAAGCGGCAUCUCGUAAGGCUCAUAACCUUAAGACCCACGUUCGACUCGUGGUCCCGCAA
rnacentral:tRNA from 1 species